rnacentral:rRNA from 1 species
UACGUAGGGCGCAAGCGUUGUCCGGAAUUAUUUGGCGUAAAGAGCUCGUAGGCGGUUUGUCGCGUCUGCUGUGAAAACCUAAGGCUCAACCUUGGGCUUGCAGUGGGUACGGGCAGACUAGAGUGCGGUAGGGGUGACUGGAAUUCCUGGUGUAGCGGUGGAAUGCGCAGAUAUCAGGAGGAACACCGAUGGCGAAGGCAGGUCACUGGGCCGCAACUGACGCUGAGGAGCGAAAGCAUGGGGAGCGAACAGG